rnacentral:rRNA from 1 species
GACGAACGCUGGCGGCGUGCUUAACACAUGCAAGUCGAACGGACACUUUUGAUGAGCUUGCGAUUUGAAAGUGUUAGUGGCGGACGGGUGAGUAACGCGUGGGCAACCUACCCAUAAGAGGGGGAUAACAGUUGGAAACGACUGCUAAUACCGCAUGAUAUUACCGGGUCACAUGGCCUGGCAAUCAAAGGAGCGAUCCGCUGAAAGAUGGGCUCGCGUCCGAUUAGCCAGUUGGCGGGUAAUAGCCCACCAAAGCGACGAUCGGUAGCCGGACUGAGAGGUUGAACGGCCACGAUUGGGACUGGGACACGGCCCAGACUCCUACGGGAGCAGCAGU